GAAAGAUAAACCGUCGCGGGUAUUAAAAUACGAAUUUAUUUUGCUAUAUAUUUCUACUCCGGAGAUUUAGAUGGGUGAGUCCUUAAUUAACCCCACUGAGACAGGAAGCACCACAGACUAACAACUAUUGAGGAGAAAUGAUGGGAAAGAAAGCAACAAUGAAUAGGCUACAAGAAGAAGAAAAAAAGGAGAAGGUGAAGACAGCAGACUACAGGAGCAUGAGUUGCAUUCCUGACCCUGACUUUAGCCGUAAGAUGGAGAGGAAUGUGUGAGGACCCACGCACACACACCAAAGUUUCAGCAGGUGUAGAAUCUGGAAAUCCAGUGUCAAUGUAGUUCAUGACUGACAUCUCAAUGAAGACAGAGGGGGGAAGGGGUACGAGGUCAGAAGAGCUGUUCCGAAAAGGGCUGAAAUGGAAAGACGUUUUGAUAUGGAUGGCCAUCAAGUGACAGUUUGAUAUGGAGGAAAAAGGAAAAGCAAAUGAGCGGACAUUUGUUAUGGUUGUGGUAAAAAUAGGCAGAUAAAAAAGGGACUAUGGGAGUUGAAGUCCCCUGAGAUCCCGCCUUGCCAAAGAGAAUGAGUCACUGCGCAACCACAUCUACCAUGUGUGGGAAACCUCCAUGGAGCACAGAGAUGCAUACUUGUACCAUUUCUGUAAGACAGACACACUUGGACACAUGGACACCCACACAUA